AUCACCCAUGUACAGCUGAAGCUUUGGUACAAAAUACAGCAUGAAGCUCAGACUCAUGCUUCUGAAAAAGAAGCAUUAAAUAUGUGCCUGAAGUGCUUUACUACCCCACCCUUCACAGAAAAAGCCAGACUUUAGUGUGUGCAGAGGCUGAACCAAGACAAAGAUCACCAGUUCUGAUGUUCCUCAUACCACACCGGAAGCCAGCUUCCAGCACGAAAAAGCAGCAAUUGAUUACUUGAAGAGGUCUCCCACAUCUUAGUGAAAAGUCCUGAAUCCAUCCUAAGCUGCAAGAUCAACUUGGACCAGGGCACAAUUUCUCUCAGUUACUGCCUCCAGCUGACUCCAGCCCAUGCACAGACUACAAGGCUUCCCCCUGCAUCACUGAUACCCAUGUCAGAACACCAGUAGAGGUAGUCGAUUUUCUCCUGGUGAGCUCAAUGGGACAUAGAGCACAAUGCACUAUACCUAGCUAGAAGUAGAUCAUGGUGCUGGAAGGAGAUGUCACCAUCUAUUUUUGCUCUUUCCUGGAAAGAAAAGCACUAUAAACACAUCAUAAACUAUGAACAGCUCACACAGCCUAAGCUGUCCCUACUAUUCAAGAGUCACCCCAGCCCUUCUCCACCCGUUAAAUAAACCCCUGAAUCACUUGCGUAGGGCAGAGCUGCUGCUAAACCAGGAUCCUAAUUGCCAGUUUGCUGGAACAGGUCUCUGGAGAAGUUAGAAAAAACACAAACAUCUCUCUGGGACCCACUGGAGACUGGAGUCCUCUUGUGGCAAAAGGUAGAGGAAAAUUUCCAGUGACUGAUUACUGCUGGCUGAAAGCUGGGACCCAGUAAGAGACACAGUGAGUAUCUACUUUGUAAAGAGCUUCAUGUCACAUUGCAGAGCACAAAAGAAGCAACAUGAAGACUUCACAGCUGGCAAUGGGUAAGCAUCAAAAGGAGCAGGAUGCCACAGUGUUUUGAUAUUGCAGACUGUGCUUCUAUUUACUGUGGUAGCUCCUUUCUUUUAGUGUGUUCCCUGCUGAGAUGAUGUUUCUGGCUGGGGGUUUUUUUGUUUGUUUGGUUGGUUUUUUUCUGUCUCUGUUAGCAGAGGUAAUUUUUCCUGAGUGGUUCGCUAGCAAGAACUUGUCUCCUGGCUAAUAUAUUCACUGUACAGUACCAGAGGUCAGCUCCCAUCCUUCUUGUCAGUCUGGCUGAGGUGGGAAGGCAACACAAUUCUAAGAUCCUGUUUAGAUCCUGCUGCUCUGUAUUCCAUCUCAUUUUCUGCUGUGUUGUUUCCUACAGUAGACCCUAUGGACUGCCUUGAGCUCAUCUUAGGAGACAUUUUCAUGAAUGAUGGAUGUUGGCCAUGUUAAUGCCAUGAUCCCUGCCUGGAACAGCACUGCAGAAGAUAAAGCACAUCUUCUAGACAUGCCUUAUGCAGUGAAGCACAGCCCUCCAUAAGGAACCCACACCUGGAAGCAUUCAGAGUCAGGACCCUGCUGGGAAGGCUUGAAGGGAGGAUUUAAGAGAUUUGUAAGCUUUGUGCCAGCCUUAGAACUGAGAUAAAUGUCUCUCCAGAAUACAGAGCUCUCUUACUUUUCCUAUAGCCCUCUUCACCCUAAAAGAGCUUUUUAGAGAGGGAACAAUUUUCCAGCAUGAAUGAAAUUGGCUAGUACAAAUAGAAACUAAUGUAACUAAACCUUGGAAUUGCAAAAAGAAAAGAUAAAUGAGACCCCAAUGCUACCAACAAUACAUUUAGAUGGUUUUCACAUGGGACCGUUAACAAUAGAUGCUUUUCAAGAAUAAAUCCUUAUGCUUUCAAGACA